UUUUUCGGAAGGUAUGCUUAAAGAUGAGCUUGCGCCACAUUAGUUUGUUGGUGGGGUAAUGGCCUACCAAGACGAUGAUGUGUAGCUGGACUGAGAGGUCGAACAGCCACAUUGGGACUGAGACACGGCCCAAACUCCUACGGGAGGCAGCAGUAGGGAAUUUUCGGCAAUGGAGGAAACUCUGACCGAGCAACGCCGCGUGAACGAUGAAGUAUUUCGGUAUGUAAAGUUCUUUUAUUGAAGAAGAAAAAAUAGUGGAAAAACUAUCUUGACGUUAUUCAAUGAAUAAGCCCCGGCUAACUAUGUGCCAGCAGCCGCGGUAAGACAUAGGGGGCGAGCGUUAUCCGGAAUUAUUGGGCGUAAAGGGUGCGUAGGCGGUUAGGAAAGUCUAUAAUUUAAUUUCAGUGCUUAACGCUGUCUUGUUAUAGAAACUACCUUGACUAGAGUUAGAUAGAGGCAAGCGGAAUUCCAUGUGUAGCGGUAAAAUGUGUAAAUAUAUGGAGGAACACCAGAAGCGUAGGCGGCUUGCUGGGUCUUGACUGACGCUGAGGCACGAAAGCGUGGGUAGCAAACAGGAUUAGAUACCCUGGUAGUCCACGCCGUAAACGAUGAGUACUAAGUGUCGGGAUAAAACUCGGUACUGAAGUUAACACAUUAAGUACUCCGCCUGAGUAGUACGUACGCAAGUAUGAAACUUAAAGGAAUUGACGGGACUCCGCACAAGCGGUGGAUCAUGUUGUUUAAUUCGAAGAUACACGAAAAAUCUUACCAGGUCUUGACAUGCUCUGCAAAGCUAUAGAAAUAUAGUGGAGGUUAUCAGGGACACAGGUGGUGCAUGGUUGUCGUCAGUUCGUGUCGUGAGAUGUUAGGUUAAGUCCUAAAACGAGCGCAACCCUUGUCGUUAGUUACCAGCACGUAAUGGUGGGCACUUUAACGAGACUGCCAAUUAAACAUUGGAGGAAGGUGAGGAUUACGUCAAAUCAUCAUGCCCCUUAUGAUCUGGGCUACAAACGUGAUACAAUGGCUGUUACAAAGAGUAGCUGAAGCGCGAGUUUUUAGCCAAUCUCAAAAAAGCAGUCUCAGUUCGGAUUGAAGUCUGUAACUCGACUUC
rnacentral:rRNA from 1 species